AUUGAACGCUGGCGGCAUGCUUUACACAUGCAAGUCGAACGGUAACAGGCCGCAAGGUGCUGACGAGUGGCGAACGGGUGAGUAAUGCAUCGGAACGUGCCCAGUCGUGGGGGAUAACGCAGCGAAAGCUGCGCUAAUACCGCAUACGAUCUAUGGAUGAAAGCGGGGGACCGUAAGGACUCGCGCGAUUGGAGCGGCCGAUGUCAGAGUAGGUAGUUGGUGGGGUAAAGGCUCACCAAGCCAACGAUCUGUAGCUGGUCUGAGAGGACGACCAGCCACACUGGGACUGAGACACGGCCCAGACUCCUACGGGAGGCAGCAGUGGGGAAUUUUGGACAAUGGGCGCAAGCCUGAUCCAGCAAUGCCGCGUGCAGGAAGAAGGCCUUCGGGUUGUAAACUGCUUUUGUACGGAACGAAACGGUCCUGGUUAAUACCUGGGGCUAAUGACGGUACCGUAAGAAUAAGCACCGGCUAACUACGUGCCAGCCGCCGCGGUAAGAC
rnacentral:rRNA from 1 species